rnacentral:rRNA from 1 species
GACGAACGCUGGCGGCGUGCUUAACACAUGCAAGUCGAACGGAAAGGCGAUGCUUUUGUUGGUUUCUCGUGUGGCGAGCGCGUGAGUAACACGUGUGUAACCUCCCCUUGACUUUCGGAUAACUUUACGAAACUGCGGCUAUUACACGAUAUGAUAUCCUGAUGCGUGGUGUUGAUUGGAGAGAUUCGGCGGUGGUGGCUAGAAUGGCGGGUUAUCGGCUUGUUUGUCGGGUAGUGGCUUACCAAGGCUUUGACGGGUAGCCGGCCUGGGAGCUUGAACGGCGACCUGGGGACUGCGAGACGGCGCAGACUGCUAUGGGCGGCAGCAGUGGGGAAUAUUGCACAAUGGGCGGAAGCGUGAUGCAGCAAUGCCCCGUGCGGGAUGACGGGCUACGGGGUGUAAACCGAUUUCGACGGUGACGAAGCGUGAGUGACGGUAAUUGGUAAAGAAGCAACGGCUAACUACGUG